CAAAAUGGCGUCAUAUCAGAGACAACAACACGGAAUACAGAUUUACACUGUAAACGACCUAAUCUUUUCUCCAAAUGUAUACAUCAGUAACUGACAUUAAAAUCACAGGGGGCGCUGGAGCCUAUCCCAGUAGCCCUCAGGCAGCAGCAAAAUUAUUGCAAUUUAGAUUUUAGGCCAUAUUGCCCACCCCUCGUAAGAAGUGGUCUUCUUUUCCUGUGAAUAAUGUUGUAAAGAGCAGUGUGUUUGUUUUCAGGCCAAUUCAUAUAAUAACUUGUUUUUUUAAAGGCCUACUGAAAUGAGAUUUUCUUAUUUAAACGGGGAUAGCAGGUCCAUUCUAUGUGUCAUACUUGAUCAUUUUGCGAUAUGGCCAUAUUUUUGCUGAAAGGAUUUAGUAGAGAACAUCGACAAUAAAGUUCGCAACUUUUGGUCGCUAAUAAAAGAGCUUUGCCUUUACCGAAAGUAGCAGACGAUGUGCACGUGACGUCACGGGUUGUAGGGCUUCUCACUUCCUCGCAUUGUUUACAAUCAUAGCCAGCAGCAGCUAGAGCUAUUGGGACCGAGAAAGCGACGAUUUCCCCAUUAAUUUGAGCGAGGAUGAAAGAUUUGUGGAUGAGGAAAGUUAGAGUGAGGCACUAAAAAAAACAAAAACAAAGAAAAAACAAGCGACGGCUCCGGGCAGCGGCAGUGGGAGCGAUUCUGAUGUUAUUAGACACAUUUACUCGGAUAAUUCUGGAAAAUCCCUUAUCUACCUAUUGUGUUGCUAGUGUUUUUGUUAUGACACAAGCUCAGUCUUCCCUGCCUUCAUCUGCGGGAGCACUCGGCGGCUCCACUCUGAGUGCGUCCACACGCGCCACACCCAGACACGCCCCCUCGCGCGCAGCGCGGACCGCUCACACACACAGCUGGAGACGAUCACCAAUCAAGACACCUGGCAUUGAUUACGGACGACAGAAUAAAGAUUCCCGCCGCUGAACCCUCGUCGUUGGAACGUUGCCAUUGCUUGCACCCCUGUCUCUAUUCCUGCUGCCAUCCUCUCUGGAACCCUGAUUUGCUCUCCUGGAUCCCUGACACAUUGCCUGGACUUUGGACGCUCUCUCCUGCCCCACGACCACGCUCGGACACCGGAUUGCUUUUGCCUUCUCCCUCUGGUUUUGGACGCCACCAUCCAACACGCACGACAACAUUCUUUACGGUAUUUCCAUAUGUUAAUUCCAGCACAUAGUUCACACUCAAACACAUAGUAGCAUACACAUCCCACGUAAUCAUUAAUUACUCAAUAAAUAUUGAGUUGGACUUCCACUGUUGUGCCGUCUCCUUCCACCCGUCUUCGCCUUAACAGUUUUAGUGAGAUUAUAUAAUACCUGAAAGUCGGAGGGGUGUGGCCACGGGUGUGUUGACCGCAGGUGUCUCUGAGGGAAGUCACGCAGCUGCAGCAGGACGCAAGCACACCUGAGUUCUCCGACGUCUGUGAAGAGCAACUUCUGCCUGAAAAACAGGAGUGUAGCUUCAGGAUGGUAAAGGAGGAUCCAUCACAGAGGAAGACCAGGUGCCACAGACCCUCUGGCGUCUCCUUUUCCUCUUUGACACAGACCCUUCCCUGUAAAAAGGAAGAGGAAGACUCACUGACCCCCCACAUUAAAGAGGAAGAGGAGGAACACAGCAUCAGUCAGGAGGGAAAUCAUCUUGAAGGACUGGUGGAGUUCCCAGUGACUGGUGUCCAUGUGAAGAGUGAAGAUGAUGAGGUCAAAGGUGAAAAUGAAGAGAAGAGAGAGGCGGAGCCUCCAAGCAGCAACUCAACACAACACAUGACAACAGAAGCUGAUGGAGACCACUGUGGAGGAUCAAAAGCAGACAAGCUCUUAGCUCCACUAUCAGAUAGUGAGGACACAACGUCACACUCUCCUGACACUGAUGAUGAAGACUCUAAAGAUGAUAAGACAUGUCACACUGACAACACUCACUUCACAUGUUCUCACUAUGACAAAACCUUUAAAUACCAUAGUCGUCUGAAAACACACAUGAGAACACACAUUGGAAAGAAACCUUUUUCUUGUUCAAUCUGUGGCUUAUCUUUUACAAGGAAGGAAAAUAUGAAAGAGCACACAAGAACACAUAAAGUAGAAAAAAUGUAUGCGUGUCAUGUGUGUGAUUCAAGGUAUAUAUGAAGUCAAGGUUUGAAAGAACACCUGAAAAGACACACUGGGGAAAACCUUUUUAACUGUUCUGUGUGUAAUUCAAGUUUUGUCCAAGGUGAUCAUUUGAAAAGACACAUGAGAACCCACACAGGAGAAAAACCUUUUACCUGUUCACUCUGUGGUAAAGGUUUUGCACAAAGUCAAAAUUUGAAAGUACACAUGAGAAGACACACUGGUGAAAAACAUUUUUCCUGUUCAACCUGUGGCUCAUCUUUUACAAGGAAGGAACAUUUGAAAGUGCACAUGAGAACACACACUGGUGAAAAACCGUUUUUCUGUUCAGUCUGUGGUAAAAGUUUUACACACUGUCAGAGUUUGAAAAAACACACAAUUUUACACACUGGUGAAAAACCUUUUAUCUGUUCAAUCUGUAGUAAAGGUUUUGUACAAAGUAACAAUUUGAAAGUACACAUGAAAACACACACUGGUGAAAAACCUUCUUCCUGUUUAGUCUGUGGUAAAGGUUUUGCACAAAGUCAGAAUUUAAAAACGCACACAAGAACACACACAGGUGAAAAAUCACAUCCAUGUUCAUUCUGCAACAUGAGCUUUUGUGAACGAUCAACCCUUAGAACACACAUGAGAAGACACCCAGGAGAGAAAGUUUUGAGUUGCAGUGUGUGUGGUGAAAUUUUUUUUUCUAAGUACCAGUGUAAGAAACACAAGUGUGCUGGUGAGAACAGCAGCAGCAAAUGAAACUGCAGGAUUUGAAAUAAACUGUCAAGACUUUAAUUUGAACUUUCUAACAACAUCAGCACAUAUAACAUGUGUGACAUUGUUGUUUGUGUAACAAUCUUUUUAACAUGCUUUUACAUUUAUGGAUUAGAUAUUUUAUAUUAGUGCUUUUUUCAAUCAAGUACAUACAUUAAUAUGCAACAUUGUGAACUUUUAUUAAAAAUUGAACAGAACUGUUUGGCUGAAAUGGUGGGAGUAAACAGUACAAGACAUAUUUUACAGAAAAUAAAUAUUUUAUGUGUAUAUUUAUAUAUUCAUCAGACAAGUUAAGACUUAUUCAUAAUACUGUUUUUAUAGGUGUUUGAAAUAUUGAAGUAUGACAUAUUUGUAUUUCUAAUUGUUAAUAAUUCCAUAGAUUAGCACCUUUAUAUGAUAUACAUAUUUACUGGUUCACAUCUGGAACAUCUUCUGGACCACUUCAGGAAGCAUAUUAUUUUUCACCUUAUACAUCAUUUGAACACUUUUGUACAAUUUUAAAAUUUGUGAUUUUAUGAAUCAUUUGUUGGUUCUCUAAUCCAUUUUAUCAAUUAUCUUUAUUACUCUCUUUUGUAUUAUGAUGAUUGUGUUGUGACUGUUUAAUAUGUAUGUCCCCAGACCUUUAUUCAAUAUAAAAGUGAGAGAAAAUGGUUGAA